AAGAGGGCUGAAUAACCCACCUGACUACUCUAAAACCAUAGAGAUCCAAAAAGGAAAAUAAUUCAGAAAGUCAGCGCCAGUGAGACCCGGAGAUGCUUACAUCUGGCAGCCUCAUGCCUGAAGGGAUUGCCUUCUGGGAGAUUCUGCUGUCCUAAUGAUCGUGUGAGUGCCUGUUUUCCUCGCUGAAUUGCACCAUUCGCCCCUUUGAAGUCAUCCUGAGGAGUCAGCUUUACUUUCCCUGCACUUCCCGGGGGAAGGGCACAUUCAACUCAUGACUCUGCUGCCCACAACUGCGUUUUGAUAUUUUUUUCUUGCCAAGGUCAGUAAGGCUAUGGAUUGUCCACAGCUGGGAUGUGGGAUGGGGCCGGAGUAACUCUGCUGUCACUCGUCUCCAGCUAUGAUCUCAGCUGCGGAUUAAUUCGUUUGCACCUUGAGUGUCAUUAAAUGAAUUGGUUUAAAGAAACCUUUUACACAGUGGUUAAUGAUGCUUGUUCGACCUUUAUAAGUACCUUUGCCCCCUGUGAUAUGAAUCACCUAAUUCCAUUCUGGUUUCCUUUC